rnacentral:piRNA from 1 species
UGAGCCAUGCCCAGAACCACUGUCCA